UGGGGAAUCUUGGACAAUGGGCGCAAGCCUGAUCCAGCCAUGCCGCGUGAGUGAAGAAGGCCUUCGGGUUGUAAAGCUCUUUUACCAGGGACGAUAAUGACGGUACCUGGAGAAUAAGCCCUGGCAAACUUCGUGCCAGCAGCCGCGGUAAUACGAAGGGGGCUAGCGUUGUUCGGAAUUACUGGGCGUAAAGCGCACGUAGGCGGAUUGUUAAGUCAGAGGUGAAAUCCCGGAGCUCAACUUCGGAACUGCCUUUGAUACUGGCAAUCUAGAGUCCGGAAGAGGUUAGUGGAAUUCCCAGUGUAGAGGUGAAAUUCGUAGAUAUUGGGAAGAACACCAGUGGCGAAGGCGGCUAACUGGUCCGGUACUGACGCUGAGGUGCGAAAGCGUGGGGAGCAAACAGGAUUAGAUACCCAGGUAGUCCCUGAGCGGGCUGGCAAGGCGCAU
rnacentral:rRNA from 1 species